rnacentral:rRNA from 1 species
UCGACCUGAGCUCAGGCAAGAUUACCCGCUGAACUUAAGCAUAUCAAUAAGCGGAGGAAAAGAAACUAACAAGGAUUCCCCUAGUAACGGCGAGCGAACCGGGAAUAGCCCAACUUGGAAAUCUCCCUCGGAGAAUUGUAGUCUAUAGAAGUGCCCUCUGCAGCGGCCGGGUCCCAAGUCCCCUGGAAGGGGGCGUCGUAGAGGGUGAGAACCCCGUCGGACCUUGGCGCAGCUGCCUCACGAGGUGCUUUCGAAGAGUCGGGUUGUUUGGGAAUGCAGCCCAAAGCUGGUGGUAAAUCCCAUCUAAGGCUAAAUACUGGCGAGAGACCGAUAGCGAACAAGUACCGCGAGGGAAAGAUGAAAAGAACUUUGAAAAGAGAGUUAAAAAGUGCUUGAAAUUGUUGAGGGGGAAGCGAUUGGCGGCUGCGUGUGCACCCAGGCUUACGCCGUUCUAACGAGCGGCUGCAUGCGCUGGGUGUUGGUCAGCAUGGGUUGGCUUGGCAGGAUAAACGCGGGGGUUGUUACCUCGUCUAUGCUGCCGGGCCGACCGAGGCGUGAAGGCCGCUCUUGUCCUUCGGGAUCUGCGGCCUCGAGAUGCUGGCGGAAGGCCUUCAAUCGGCCCGUCUUGAAACACGGACCAAGGAGUCUAACAUGUAUGCGAGCUGGUGGGUGGCAAACCCAUGAGGCGCAAGUAACCUGACUUUGGUGGGAUGGCCGCAAGGCCUGCACCAUCGACCGACCGUGAUCUUCUGUGAAAGGUUCGAGUACGAGCAUACCUGUUGGGACCCGAAAGAUGGUGAACUAUGCCUGAGCAGGGCGAAGCCGGAGGAAACUCCGGUGGAGGCUCGUAGAUGUGCUGACGUGCAAAUCGCUUUUCGGACUUGGGUAUAGGGGCGAAAGACUAAUCGAACCAUCUAGUAGCUGGUUCCCUCCGAAGUUUCCCCCAGGAUAGCUGGAGCUUGUGUGUCAGUUUUAUCGGGUAAAGCUAAUGAUUAGAGGUUCGGGGGAUGAAACAUCUUCCACCUAUUCUCAAACUUUAAAUAGGUAAGACGUGUGAGUUGCUUAACUGAACUCACGCAUUCAAUGAGAGCUCCAAGUGGGCCAUUUUUGGUAAGCAGAACUGGCGAUGCGGGAUGAACCGAUAGUUGGGUUAAGGUGCCGGACUACGCGCUAACCUAGAUCCCACAAAGGGUGUUGAUUGAUACAGACAGCAGGACGGUGGUCAUGGAAGUCGAAAUCCGCUAAGGAGUGUGUAACAACUCACCUGCCGAAUCAAUUAGCCCCGAAAAUGGAUGGCGCUGAAGCGCGUGACCUAUACCCGGCCAUGGGGGCAAGUGCGAGGCUCCCAUGAGUAGGAGGGCGUGGGUGUCGCUGCGCAGCCUGGAGCGUGAGCUCGGGUGAAGCGGCACCUAGUGCAGAUCUUGGUGGUAGUAGCAAAUAUUCAAAUGAGAACUUUGAAGACUGAAGGGGAGAAA